GGGGUCGAUACGGUAUCGACCGUGUGAUGUAAGGCCAUCCGGAGCUUAUGCCGGAACCACACGGGACGCGAGUUCGAUUCUCGCCGACUCCACUU
rnacentral:sRNA from 1 species